rnacentral:sRNA from 1 species
UCCGUAGGUGAACCUGCGGAAGGAUCAUUAAUAGUGCCCUCUGAUGCAAAUCAUUGGGUUAGAUCUGCUCUCUUCGCAAGAAGAGGGUUUCCAUACACACCGUGAACUGUGGCUUCGGCCAUCACAAACUGUUAGUAAUGAAUGUAAUAUCAUAACAAAAACAAAACUUUUAACAACGGAUCUCUUGGCUCUCGCAUCGAUGAAGAACGCAGCGAAAUGCGAUAAGUAAUGUGAAUUGCAGAAUUCAGUGAAUCAUCGAAUCUUUGAACGCACCUUGCGCCCUUUGGUAUUCCGAAGGGCAUGCCUGUUUGAGUGUCAUGAAACCUCACCCCACUUGGGUUUUUGCCUGAGCGGUGGUGUAUUGGGUGUUGCCUUGCUAAAGGCUCGCCUUAAAGACAUAAGCACCUUGGAUGUAAUACGUUUCAUCCUUCUGGGUGGCUGAUAACCCCACAUAUUCAUGAUCUGGCCUCAAAUCAGGUAGGGCUACCCGCUGAACUUAAGCAUAUCAAUAAGCGGAGGAAAAGAAACUAACUAGGAUUCCCUUAGUAACGGCGAGUGAACCGGGAUGAGCUCAAAUUUAAAAUCUGGCGUCUUUCAGGCGUCCGAGUUGUAAUCUAUAGAGGCGUUUUCCGCGCCGGACCGCGUCCAAGUCUCUUGGAAUAGAGUAUCAAAGAGGGUGACAAUCCCGUACUUGACGCGACAACCGGUGCUCUGUGAUACGUUCUCAAUGAGUCGAGUUGUUUGGGAAUGCAGCUCUAAAUGGGUGGUAAAUUCCAUCUAAGGCUAAAUAUUGGCGAGAGACCGAUAGCGAACAAGUACCGUGAGGGAAAGAUGAAAAGCACUUUGGAAAGAGAGUUAAACAGCACGUGAAAUCGUUAAAAGGGAAACGCUUGAAGU